AGUGCCUGGUAGAGUACUGAAUCUUUCCUGACACUCGAUAUUGUCAGUUUUCUCCUAACCUUUGACAGUUUUAUGGGUAAGGAAGUAUUAUUGUUUUAUUUUACAUUCAUUCAUAGCUCUCAUGUUUGUUGAAUACCAUUAUAUCUUUUUUUUUGAGGGCUCUUUGCUCACACAACCCUCUGAUAUGAUGAGAGAACUUUCCUCUCUCAGCCUUUAAUGCCCAUAGCAUAGGCAGAACCAGCAAGAAAGGGGAGUAGAAAGAGAGGACUUAGAAAAAGAUGAAAACAGAACUUUGUGGAGAGGAAGGCAGAACCCUGUGACCAUGGAGAAUAGAAUGCCGCACGUGCGUUUGCUAGUAUUGUUCUAAUCAGAAUGGGAGAGCUAAAAGUGGUCCUAUUCAGUCUGCUGUGAAACGUCUUCUGCUUUAUCUCCAGAGACAAGGCCUGAACAAUUAAGAUACCUUUCUGGAUGAAAAGAUGAUGUGAGACUGAAGGAAAGAGGGAAUUGACAGCAAGCUAUAACCCAUGACUACAUUGGUGAGGGCCUUCACUAAGGCAGGAUAUAAAGUCCUUAAGGGUUGGACAAGGUGAUUGAAAACUCAUUUGUAUACCCCAGUGAGGAAUCUGGUAAAUGCUUAGUUGUUGGACUGAAUUUUAAAAUGGUCCUUAGAGAAACUUGACAAUAUACAGCAUCUUUCUACCGCUGGAGUUAAGUCUGUUUCUGGUAAAUCCCUGAGAUCAAUUCCCAGCUAUGCUACAGUCCUUUGAGAGGCUAAUUAAGGUCCUUAGCUAAAAUGGGAAUUCUUGCCUGAAAAUUACAAGUUAGAGCGUGCCCCAAAUCUCAGACUCAGCCCCUGGGAGACUUCCCAGUGUUAGAUGUGUCCUUAACCCAAACUGUUGAUGCCA